rnacentral:lncRNA from 1 species
GGGAGGGGUACAGUCGGGCAAUGGAUAGCCACAUCAAUUUGAUGUGAGUGCAAUCCAAAAAAUUAAUAUACAAAGUAUCACGAAGAUUUUUGGAUAUUCAUCACUUUGAUGCUAAAUCCAAUUUUCGAUAUGGUCGAUAACAAAGGAGGCAAACCAAUCUGUGAUGCUAUUUGCCUUUCGAAAGACAUGUUGAAUACUCGUUGCGGCGGC